CCUACGGGAGGCAGCAGUGGGGAAUAUUGCACAAUGGGCGAAAGCCUGAUGCAGCAACGCCGCGCGAGGGACGACGGCCUUCGGGUUGUAAACCUCUUUUAGCAGGGAAGAAGCGAAAGUGACGGUACCUGCAGAAAAAGCACCGGCUAACUACGUGCCAGCAGCCGCGGUAAUACGUAGGGUGCAAGCGUUGUCCGGAAUUAUUGGGCGUAAAGAGCUCGUAGGCGGUUUGUCGCGUCUGCUGUGAAAACCCCGAGGCUCAACCUCGGGCCUGCAGUGGGUACGGGCAGACUAGAGUGCGGUAGGGGAGAUUGGAAUUCCUGGUGUAGCGGUGGAAUGCGCAGAUAUCAGGAGGAACACCGAUGGCGAAGGCAGAUCUCUGGGCCGUAACUGACGCUGAGGAGCGAAAGGGUGGGGAGCAAACAGGCUUAGAUACCCUGGUAGUCCACCCCGUAAACGUUGGGAACUAGAUGUGGGGACCAUUCCACGGUCUCCGUGUCGCAGCUAACGCAUUAAGUUCCCCGCCUGGGGAGUACGGCCGCAAGGCUAAAACUCAAAGGGAAUUGACGG
rnacentral:rRNA from 1 species